rnacentral:rRNA from 1 species
AGAGUUUGAUCCUGGCUCACGAUAAACGCUGGCGGCGUGCAUAACACAUGCAAGUCGAACGAUGAAGAUUAAAAGAUUUCUUCGGAAUGAACUUAAUUGGAUUAGUGGCGGACGGGUGAGUAACGCGUGAGUAACCUGCCUUGUACAAGGGGAUAGCCGUUGGAAACGACGAAUAAUACCCUAUGACAUGAUAUUAUCGCAUGAAAAUAUCAUCAAAGAUUUAUCGGUAUAAGAUGGACUCGCGUCUGAUUAGCUAGUUGGUGGGGUAAAAGCCUACCAAGGCAACGAUCAGUAGCCGGCUUGAGAGAGUGUACGGCCACAUUGGGACUGAGACACGGCCCAAACUCCUACGGGAGGCAGCAGUGGGGAAUUUUGCACAAUGGGGGAAACCCUGAUGCAGCGACGCCGCGUGAUUUAGAAGGCCUUCGGGUUGUAAAAAUCUUUUGUAUGGGAAGAAAAUGACAGUACCAUACGAAUAAGGACCGGCUAAUUACGUGCCAGCAGCCGCGGUAAUAC